rnacentral:rRNA from 1 species
GACGAACGCUGGCGGCGUGCCUAAUACAUGCAAGUCGAACGAGAGCAACCGGUGCUUGCACUGGUCAAUCUAGUGGCGAACGGGUGAGUAACACGUGGGUAACCUGCCCAUCAGAGGGGGAUAACAUCCGGAAACGGAUGCUAAAACCGCAUAGGUCUUCGAACCGCAUGGUUUGAAGAGGAAAAGAGGCGCAAGCUUCUGCUGAUGGAUGGACCCGCGGUGCAUUAGCUAGUUGGUGAGGUAACGGCUCACCAAGGCCGUGAUGCAUAGCCGACCUGAGAGGGUGAUCGGCCACAUUGGGACUGGGACACGGCCCAAACUCCUACGGGAGGCAGCAGUAGGGAAUCUUCCGCAAUGGACGCAAGUCUGACGGAGCAACGCCGCGUGAGUGAAGAAGGUGUUCGGAUCGUAAAACUCUGUUGUUAGAGAAGAACAAGUGCUAGAGUAACUGUUAGCGCCUUGACGGUAUCUAACCAGAAAGCCACGGCUAACUACGUG